GAUGAACGCUGGCGGCGUGCUUAACACAUGCAAGUCGAGCGAAGCGCUUUGGAAAGAUUCUUCGGAUGAUUUCCUUUGUGACUGAGCGGCGGACGGGUGAGUAACGCGUGGGUAACCUGCCUCAUACAGGGGGAUAACAGUUAGAAAUGACUGCUAAUACCGCAUAAGACCACGGUACCGCAUGGUACAGUGGCAAAAACUCCGGUGGUGUGAGAUGGACCCGCGUCUGAUUAGGUAGUUGGUGGGGUAACGGCCUACCAAGCCGACGAUCAGUAGCCGACCUGAGAGGGUGACCGGCCACAUUGGGACUGAGACACGGCCCAGACUCCUACGGGAGGCAGCAGUGGGGAAUAUUGCACAAUGGAGGAAACUCUGAUGCAGCGACGCCGCGUGAAGGAUGAAGUAUUUCGGUAUGUAAACUUCUAUCAGCAGGGAAGAAAAUGACGG
rnacentral:rRNA from 1 species